UACGAAGGGUGCAAGCGUUGUUCGGAUUUAUUGGGCGUAAAGCGCGCGCAGGCGGAUCGGCAAGUCAGAUGUGAAAUCUCGGAGCUCAACUCCGAAACUGCGUCUGAAACUACCAGUCUAGAAUGUCAGAGGGGGUAGGGGAAUUUCACGUGUAGGGGUAAAAUCCGUAGAGAUGUGAAGGAACACCGGUGGCGAAGGCGCCUACCUGGAUGACCAUUGACGCUGAGGCGCGAAAGCGUGGGGAGCAAACAGG
rnacentral:rRNA from 1 species